AGAGUUUGAUCAUGGCUCAGAUUGAACGCUGGCGGCAGGCCUAACACAUGCAAGUCGAGCGGUAGCACAGAGAGCUUGCUCUCGGGUGACGAGCGGCGGACGGGUGAGUAAUGUCUGGGAAACUGCCUGAUGGAGGGGGAUAACUACUGGAAACGGUAGCUAAUACCGCAUAACGUCGCAAGACCAAAGUGGGGGACCUUCGGGCCUCAUGCCAUCAGAUGUGCCCAGAUGGGAUUAGCUAGUAGGUGGGGUAACGGCUCACCUAGGCGACGAUCCCUAGCUGGUCUGAGAGGAUGACCAGCCACACUGGAACUGAGACACGGUCCAGACUCCUACGGGAGGCAGCAGUGGGGAAUAUUGCACAAUGGGCGCAAGCCUGAUGCAGCCAUGCCGCGUGUGUGAAGAAGGCCUUCGGGUUGUAAAGCACUUUCAGCGGGGAGGAAGGCGUUAAGGUUAAUAACCUUGGCGAUUGACGUUACCCGCAGAAGAAGCACCGGCUAACUCCGUGCCAGCAGCCGCGGUAAUACGGAGGGUGCAAGCGUUAAUCGGAAUUACUGGGCGUAAAGCGCACGCAGGCGGUCUGUCAAGUCGGAUGUGAAAUCCCCGGGCUUAACCUGGGAACUGCAUUCGAAACUGGCAGGCUAGAGUCUUGUAGAGGGGGGUAGAAUUCCAGGUGUAGCGGUGAAAUGCGUAGAGAUCUGGAGGAAUACCGGUGGCGAAGGCGGCCCCCUGGACAAAGACUGACGCUCAGGUGCGAAAGCGUGGGGAGCAAACAGGAUUAGAUACCCUGGUAGUCCACGCCGUAAACGAUGUCGAUUUGGAGGUUGUGCCCUUGAGGCGUGGCUUCCGGAGCUAACGCGUUAAAUCGACCGCCUGGGGAGUACGGCCGCAAGGUUAAAACUCAAAUGAAUUGACGGGGGCCCGCACAAGCGGUGGAGCAUGUGGUUUAAUUCGAUGCAACGCGAAGAACCUUACCUGGUCUUGACAUCCACAGAACUUAGCAGAGAUGCUUUGGUGCCUUCGGGAACUGUGAGACAGGUGCUGCAUGGCUGUCGUCAGCUCGUGUUGUGAAAUGUUGGGUUAAGUCCCGCAACGAGCGCAACCCUUAUCCUUUGUUGCCAGCGGUCCGGCCGGGAACUCAAAGGAGACUGCCAGUGAUAAACUGGAGGAAGGUGGGGAUGACGUCAAGUCAUCAUGGCCCUUACGACCAGGGCUACACACGUGCUACAAUGGCAUAUACAAAGAGAAGCGACCUCGCGAGAGCAAGCGGACCUCAUAAAGUAUGUCGUAGUCCGGAUUGGAGUCUGCAACUCGACUCCAUGAAGUCGGAAUCGCUAGUAAUCGUAGAUCAGAAUGCUACGGUGAAUACGUUCCCGGGCCUUGUACACACCGCCCGUCACACCAUGGGAGUGGGUUGCAAAAGAAGUAGGUAGCUUAACCUUCGGGAGGGCGCUUACCACUUUGUGAUUCAUGACUGGGGUGAAGUCGUAACAAGGUAACCGUAGGGGAACCUGCGGUUG
rnacentral:rRNA from 1 species